rnacentral:rRNA from 1 species
CUACGUGCCAGCAGCCGCGGUAAUACGGAAGGUCCGGGCGUUAUCCGGAUUUAUUGGGUUUAAAGGGAGCGUAGGCUGGAGAUUAAGUGUGUUGUGAAAUGUAGACGCUCAACGUCUGACUUGCAGCGCAUACUGGUUUCCUUGAGUACGCACAACGUUGGCGGAAUUCGUCGUGUAGCGGUGAAAUGCUUAGAUAUGACGAAGAACUCCGAUUGCGAAGGCAGCUGACGGGAGCGCAACUGACGCUGAAGCUCGAAGGUGCGGGUAUCGAACAGGAUUAGAUACCCUGGUAGUCCGCACAGUAAACGAUGGAUGCCCGCUGUUGGUACCUAGUAUCAGCGGCUAAGCGAAAGCAUUAAGCAUCCCACCUGGGGAGUACGCCGGCAACGGUGAAACUCAAAGGAAUUGACGGGGGCCCGCACAAGCGGAGGAACAUGUGGUUUAAUUCGAUGAUACGCGAGGAACCUUACCCGGGCUUGAA